GGAGGUUUAGCUCAGUUGGGAGAGCAUCUGCCUUACAAGCAGAGGGUCAGCGGUUCGAGCCCGUUAACCUCCA
rfam:Coprobacillus sp. 29_1 genomic scaffold supercont1.1, whole genome shotgun sequence.